rnacentral:rRNA from 1 species
ACGGGUGAGUAAUGCUUCGGAAUCUACCCAGUAGUGGGGAAUAACUAACCGAAAGGUUAGCUAAUACCGCAUACGUCCUACGGGAGAAAGCGGGGGUCGCAAGACCUCGCGCUAUUGGAUGAGCCGAAGUCGGAUUAGCUAGUUGGUGAGGUAACGGCUCACCAAGGCGACGAUCCGUAGCUGGUCUGAGAGGACGACCAGCCACACUGGAACUGAGACACGGUCCAGACUCCUACGGGAGGCAGCAGUGGGGAAUAUUGGACAAUGGGGGAAACCCUGAUCCAGCGACGCCGCGUGUGUGAAGAAGGCCUGCGGGUUGUAAAGCACUUUUAGUGGGGAUGAAAAGUUCAGGGCUAAUAUCCUUGGGCAUUGACCUAACCCACAGAAAAAGCACCGGCUAACUCUGUGCCAGCAGCCGCGG